rnacentral:rRNA from 1 species
AGUGAACGCUGGCGGUAGGCCUAACACAUGCAAGUCGAACGGCAGCACAGUAAGAGCUUGCUCUUACGGGUGGCGAGUGGCGGACGGGUGAGGAAUACAUCGGAAUCUACUUUUUCGUGGGGGAUAACGUAGGGAAACUUACGCUAAUACCGCAUACGACCUACGGGUGAAAGCAGGGGAUCUUCGGACCUUGCGCGAUUGAAUGAGCCGAUGUCGGAUUAGCUAGUUGGCGGGGUAAAGGCCCACCAAGGCGACGAUCCGUAGCUGGUCUGAGAGGAUGAUCAGCCACACUGGAACUGAGACACGGUCCAGACUCCUACGGGAGGCAGCAGUGGGGAAUAUUAGACAAUGGGCGCAAGCCUGAUCCAGCCAUACCGCGUGGGUGAAGAAGGCCUUCAGGUUGUAAAGCCCUUUUGUUGGGAAAGAAAAGCAGCAGGUUAAUACCCCGCUGUUCUGACGGUACCCAAAGAAUAAGCACCGGCUAACUUCGUG